rnacentral:misc_RNA from 1 species
UUAUCGAGGCACACCGCGAAUACCUCGACGCCCUUCAAAGCCGAAACGAGGCCGUCAUCCAGGCAUGGCGCAACAGCCUCGAUCUCGAACUGUUAAAUCUGCCCGCUGCGCCGAAUUCGCCGGGCAAGGAGAUCGUGCACCCGAAAAGCACGCCAUGAACCGCAAUUUAAACGAUCACGGCUCUUCGCCUCCAGGCGACAAAUACGCCUUGACCAAUCCGUUUUCUAGCGCUGAGGCGAACGAAGUUUUCCGGGUCGCCGGGAUGGAUUGUUCCGAGGAAGUCGCGGCCAUCGAACGGGCCUUGAAGUCAUUGCCGGGAGUGCUCGGUGUGCGGGGGCGGAAAUCGUCGCCUCGAAGGUCACGGUUUUCCACGAUGGAAAACUCUCGCGCUCAGUUAUUGCCCAGGCCAUUAACAAGAGCGGCGUCACCGUCCCGGACGAGAAGCAGCGCGGCAGCCGUCCUUCUGCACCUACGAUCCUUGUUGCCACGUCCGGCAUUGCCACAGGACUUGGCCUGCUGUUGCAAUGGUUUGGAUUCAAGGACGGUUGGCAGCCGGAGGCCGCUUUUCUCGCCGCCAUCGUGACGGGCGGCUGGCUGGUUCUUCCGAAGGCCCUGCGUUCCUUGCGCUCAUUUUCCCUGGACAUGAACGUGCUGAUGACGGUGGCGGUGCUUGGCGCGGUCGCCAUCGGCGAGCACGCGGAAGGAGCUGCCGUCGCUUUCCUUUUCGCACUAUCCGAGCUCCUCGAAUCCUGGAGCGUCGGUCGCGCUCGCCGGGCCAUCGAAGCCCUGAUGGAACUCACCCCGGAUACUGCUCUUGUAAAACAGGACGGUGAGUGGCGCGAGGUCGCUGCCACAGUGGUGCAGCCCGG